UGUGCGCAAACUGUUGUGAUUGGUUUACACCAUGCUACAACUUUACGUCAUAUCUGUGUGACUACCACUGUCGCGAGUAAGAGUAGGUGUAAAAAUGGCGCCUUCCCCAACAAAGAGAAAGGACGAUGACAAGAGUAAACAGCGUGGUAAGGAGAAGUCAGGAGCCACGAAAGAAGGGCCCGACAAAGACCGGGGCCGAGAGAAGAACCGCACACGGCGCAGUGCCUCCACUGGAAGCAGCAGGUCCAGCUCGAGCUCCAGCAGGCUCGGGCUCG